rnacentral:lncRNA from 1 species
GAGAACACAGUGCACAGCAUCCGGGAGAGACUGGCCAGGACUUGGUGUUCAGUUACCUCCAACACCAAAGACAGUUGGACUUGCAUUCCCUGGGGCCAGCUCACAAGCUUCAGAGAGCUCACAGCAUAAUGUCUUCUUCUGACACAUGCUCACUGAACAUCCACCAUGAGCCAGGCACUGGACCUCUGUUCUGAACGCCAUGUGCCUCCCCUGGUCUCUGGAAGUCCAGUAGGCACCUGUACAUCUAGACACCUCCCCUGCACACAAAUCUGCUCUUCCUAUGACAGUCCCUGUGUCAUUGUCAUAAGAGAUACAUUUGAUUCUCCACCCUGGUUCUGGCACGAGAACUCUAAAAGCCUUGGGAUUUCCUAAGAGAUGAGGUUACACUGAGGUGAGGCCAACUGCUCUGUGUGUGGAAGCCAGAGAAGAAAGCAGCACAGAACAGAUGCAAACCAAGGAGGCUGGAAGAUAAGAGCAGAGCCAUCAGGACACGAGCCCCUCGCGGGUAUGAAACAGGAGUCGUGGGAGCAAAUUAGUAGGUGCACUGCAUGGAGGGACGGAAGGGGCAGGGAGGAGCAUCUGAAUGUAAGAUUUCAGAGAAGCUCAUUUUGUCAGCAUUUCAGAGCUUCCUGUGUGCAGCAUGGAUCUAAAGCUGGUGGAUGCAGGGGGGUGAACAAGACAACAUCUUCACUUCCUGCAUGCUGAUGGCAGAAGUGAGACAUCAGCGAAGAAACAUCACGAUCACCAAAUUACGAUGAACACCAUGGAGGAAACAAAGGACACUGUGACACCAAGGAAGGAAGGGAGGUUACUUUUCAUAGUGGCUGUAAAUAGAACUGAAGGCUGAAAAACAGCUGUUAAAAUGGCUUGUUUGUUUGAAGAUGAAUGAGAGUACACAAUAAAAGGUAAUUCUCCCUCCCAUCCCC